GUAUCCAUUCAUCUGUAAAAGCAGUAGCCCGGAGUAUGUAAUAUAAAAGUCCUGCCAGCCACUGCUGUCCAAAGGCGAUGUUGCAGGUGAGUCAAACAGACUGCCAUGAAGCAAAAUGUGGCCUCCCACCCCUGAAUAAGUUGGAAGAAAACAUUGAGGUGGAAUGAAAUCAUUUGAAGAUAAGGGAUGGAUGCCCAGCCAGGGACAUUAAUUAACUCUAGUGUAUUGGGGAUGCUUCCCCUGGAAUGGGAAUGGUGGGAAGAACUUACAUUUUGUUUGCCAAAUCCUCCAUGAAGUCCCCAGUGUAUGACCUCUGCUGCCUCUUGUUUCUGUCCACUUUCCUAUAUUCCUGUCCGGGAAUACCCCUCUCGGGAAAGCUCACCUCCCUUGGCAUGGUGACCCUCGGUCUGGGAUAGCACACUUACCAGUGAUCAUCACAAUGCACGAAUCCUCUGCGGCCUUUAAAGCAAGAACUGACACUGGUGACCUUUGUACCCUCAGAUGUGAGCGUGGGUCUAGAGGUACAGCCACACAAGGAAGCACGUAGCUAGGCUGGGAUGGCUGGGGGCUUCUCCUCUCUGCCACUUGCAUUUCAAGAUGCUUCCAGCACUAGGACAUAAGGCUUUGCUUUUUCAUAGAAAAUGGUUUGGAGGUUAAAAAGCUUUUCAUUGUGGGUUCUAUGUUAAUAGUUUUUCCUACCAAAUAUUUAAAAAAUUAGACCAAGGCUGAUUAUACAUAAAUGUCUUCAUCCUAAGAUUAGGAGACCAAGAGGAAGGUCUUUCCAGCCAGGCUGAUGGUAUGGUCCUGUGGUUCCAGCAUGAGGGACAUUGUGAGUUUGGACCCAGCCUUAGGUUACUUGGAAAGACCCUGUUUCAAACAAACAAACAAACAAACAAACAAACAAACAAACAAACAGGUAUUUUUAACUGAAGAUUUGGUAAGACUCCUUUAUUUUUGGGAAAAUAUUUCCCUUUAAGCCAUGGUACAAGAGGCUGUAGGUCAGCCAAAGCUAUGUCUUAACUGCUCUAGCUGGUCGCCUUCUAAAUAAAGACUGGU
rnacentral:lncRNA from 1 species